rnacentral:rRNA from 1 species
GACGAACGCUGGCGGCGCGCCUAACACAUGCAAGUCGAACGAGCGAGAGAGAGCUUGCUUUCUCGAGCGAGUGGCGAACGGGUGAGUAGCGCGUGAGGAACCUGCCUCAAAGAGGGGGACAACAGUUGGAAACGACUGCUAAUACCGCAUAAGCCCACGGGUCGGCAUCGACCAGAGGGAAAAGGAGCAAUCCGCUUUGAGAUGGCCUCGCGUCCGAUUAGCUAGUUGGUGAGGUAAUGGCCCACCAAGGCGACGAUCGGUAGCCGGACUGAGAGGUUGAACGGCCACAUUGGGACUGAGACACGGCCCAGACUCCUACGGGAGGCAGCAGUGGGGAAUAUUGCACAAUGGGGGAAACCCUGAUGCAGCGACGCCGCGUGGAGGAAGAAGGUCUUCGGAUUGUAAACUCCUGUUGUUGGGGAAGAUAAUGACGGUACCCAACAAGGAAGUGACGGCUAACUACGUG